ACGGGUGCGUAACGCGUGGGAAUCUGCCCCUUGGUUCGGAAUAACAGUUGGAAACGACUGCUAAUACCGGAUGACGACGUAAGUCCAAAGAUUUAUCGCCGAGGGAUGAGCCCGCGUAGGAUUAGGUAGUUGGUGUGGUAAAGGCGCACCAAGCCGACGAUCCUUAGCUGGUCUGAGAGGAUGAUCAGCCACACUGGGACUGAGACACGGCCCAGACUCCUACGGGAGGCAGCAGUGGGGAAUAUUGGACAAUGGGCGAAAGCCUGAUCCAGCAAUGCCGCGUGAGUGAUGAAGGCCUUAGGGUUGUAAAGCUCUUUUACCCGGGAUGAUAAUGACAGUACCGGGAGAAUAAGCUCCGGCUAACUCCGUGCCAGCAGCCGCGGUAAUACGGAGGGAGCUAGCGUUAUUCGGAAUUACUGGGCGUAAAGCGCACGUAGGCGGCUUUGUAAGUAAGAGGUGAAAGCCCAGAGCUCAACUCUGGAAUUGCCUUUUAGACUGCAUCGCUUGAAUCAUGGAGAGGUCAGUGGAAUUCCGAGUGUAGAGGUGAAAUUCGUAGA
rnacentral:rRNA from 2 species